CUGGGUGUAGCUCAGUGUAGAGCACUUGUCUCGCCUGCAUGAGGCCCUGAGUUUGAUCCCCAGCAUCCACA
rnacentral:tRNA from 1 species